UAUUAUAAAAGGGUUCUUCAAAUAAACCCCAAUCCGUCCUUCAUUUGGGUAUUGCCUCUGGCUUUAAUCUCUCUCAGUCUCACUACUGAGUUGCUGUCAAACUUAUUUUGCUAGACCAUGAGGAAUGCUUCGACUUCUGGUGUAGAUACAAUUAGUAAUUUGCCUUGUAAUGUUCUCGAUGUUAUUCUUAGGUGCUUGCCUAGGAAAGAUGCAGUGAAGACUAGUAUCUUGUCAAAAGACUGGAGUUACAAAUGGGUAACACGUCAAGAACUUGAUUUUAAUGAUGAGUUUUACAAGUAUUUCUAACAAGAUGAAGAAGCCAAGAGAAUUAUUUACCAAGUCCUAUUAGUCCAUAAAGGACCAAUAUUGAAGUUUAGACUCCGUAAUUUUACGAGUUGUCCUGAUAUUGAUCAUUGGAUGCACUUCUCGUCGAAGAAAAAUGUCCAGGAAUUCACCCUUGUUGUACGCAUUGGAAACAAAUAUCAAUCACCUCAUCAUCUUUUUACAUUCCAGCAGCUAAGGUGUUUGGAACUUCAAGAUUGCUUGUUCCACCCUCCACUCGGUUUCAAAGGGUUUGAGAAGCUUAUUAAUCUCGAUCUUGUGCGUCACUUUUGAUCCAUCAAUAUUUACUAAUCUCAUCUCUAAAAGCCCGUUGCUUGAACGAUUGAGGUUGCGUUGCUGCACAAACAUUGACAUCCUUGAAAUUGAUGCCGCUAAUCUCAAAUUCUGUGAGUUUAUUGGAAAAACAAAAUCCAUUUCCUUCAAAAAUGCUCCUAUGCUUGAAAAAGUUACUGUGGCGAUCCUUGGACGACGACUUUUGAAUGAUACAUCUCCUGUUUGCUCUAAUUUCCCAAAGUUUUUCCAUUACAUGCCUUCACUGCUGGAGCUGGAUAUAUGUGGUGCAAUAUUAGAGUACUUGAUCAAGGGAGGUUUACCAGAGAGUCCCCCAACUGCGCUGUACAAUAUCAAAUCUCUCAAUAUUUUGUCCAUGUCUUUAAGAAAUGCCGAGGUGGUUUCAAGUGCAGUUUACUUGAUUACAAGCUGUCCUAAAUUACAAGAUCUUACACUUGAAUUCUACCAAGUGUCGGUGGGGAUAUUGUUGAACCUGUUGUAGAGUUGCUACGAGCACAAUCAUCCUCAAGCGGUGCUGUGAAGCUUCAAAGAGUUAAAGUGAACAUGUUUACUGGUCUCGAGAUGGAAAUGGAGUUUAUGAAGUUUAUAUUGGCAUCUGCCUUGGUACUUGAGGAGAUCUUCAUUUGGAAUUGUACACUUUACCUUUUCCGUUUGUGUAAGCAAAUGAUCGAUGAGAUGAAAGAAUUCCGCAGAGCAUCACCCAAUAUUAAAUUCACAUUUGAGGAAAUCGAUAUGGAAGGUGGAUAUGAACAUGAAGAAGACAUGAGGAUUUAUGAUUCGGACGAUGAAAAAUUGGAAAGAAAAUAGAAAAAAGUUUUUGCAUGAUCCUAUGAAUGUUCGGAAGGAUUCAAACAAAGAUAUUGGGGAAUCAUCUAAAUCAAAAGGUUGGUAAAAUACACCAAAAACAGAGAAAAGCAUCAUCAACCAUUAUUGUCAGGCCGACAUUGCUUCACCCCUCAAGUACAAGAUAAAAAAGAUACCGACACAUCCCAUAAGAAUGCAUGUUCAAACAUUGUCCCAACAACAGAGGAAAUUGAAGCUUUUGACCUAGUUGAAGUUGAACAUGCUCCUUCUUCUUCACCACCCUUAGUACAAACAAAUGAGGAAGAUGAUUUUGAUAAUUUCUCCACCAAACCUCCCGAACAGAUAUUGAGGAGAUCUUCUAGAGUGUUUGAUACAUCUCCUCCACCAACGUCAAAAAGAAGAAAAAAAGUGGUUAUACAUAAAAAAAAUUUCAGAAUCGAGUCAGCCUGAUCAAUCAAAUGUGACUCCGACAACGAAUGAUGAUAUACAUGUUUCUAUUUCAGAUCUGCCUCCCAAUUUGACUGCUGAUGAUGUACAUGGUUCUGUUCCAGACGUGUCUCCGAACCCGGCUGCUGAUGUACAUGGUUCUGUUCCAGAUGUGUUAUCGAACUCGGCUGCUGAUGUACAUGGUUUUGCAGAUUCUCAGAAAGUUAACUAUGUAAUUCCAUAUAUUGAAAAGUUGAAAGGACAUUUGAAAACUUAGGUUGACAAGAAAUUUGAGUAACUGAUUAUAUUGGUAAAGGAAAACCACUUCCAAUUGAUGCAAUCUUGAGGCAAGGAAAACAUCAAUGUUGAGACUAAUACAAGUACAUUUCAGUUUGAGAAACAAAUAACUCCGCAAAUACAGAUUGAUCUUUCUGAUAUGGGUGGUGUAGCUGAGGAUGGUGGUGGUGUUUCUGGUAACUAUGUUGAACAUCAAGUCAUCGAAGAUGUGGGGGAUGACGCUGAGGAUGGUGUUGGUGUUUCUGUAAACGAGGGUGAACAACAAGUCAAUGAUACUCCAAAGGAUGGUGACGUACAUCAAUCGCACCAAGAUUUAAAUGAACAUAUCAUGGAGCAAGUUGUUGAUGACAAUGUUCAACACAACAUUCCUCACGUUUUGCUCGAUAAAACAAUAAUGGAUGCAUCGGAAUCUUCCACUUCAAUAACAAUAUCGCUAUCAACUCAAGCAGCAAUAGAUGCACUUAUCAAAGAUUUGGGGAAAGAUCCUACUAAUGCUAGACUAUUAUAUUCUUACAAUCCACAGAAUAUAACUAGCAGCCAGUACUUGUUGACCGACAGUCAAUUACCCACUGACAUUCCAAUAGCUGAGAUUGGAGUUAGAACCAAUUCAGUCACUCCUGCGCAUAGAAACAGAAUGUCUUAGAGAAAUAUUCAAUCUCCAUAUUGUAAUUCUUUUGGGUCAAGCAAGAAGGGAAAAGAGAAAUUGAAGGAUACGGCUCAACUCCAUUUCCCGUUCGAAGGAUAUGGCAUUACAGAUCAAGUUUUGCCGAAACUUAUUGAGGAUUAUAUGAAUUGGUUGUCAAGGGGGCUCCUAAAAAAUCAUAACAAUAAGGAUCCAUCAGACGAUAAAUACAAAUCAAAAUCUUCUUCUUUUGAAUUUACGAUGAUGGACUUUGUUGUUGUUUUUCCAAAUAACAAGAAUUGGUUCUAUGCCAUGUCACAACCAAAUAAAUGUUGGACUGAUGAGGUAAAAAUCUUAAUCUAAUUAUCAAAUGUAUACCAGUCACACUUAUAUUAUACAUGAUACAUUCUAUAGAAGUAUCAUAAUAUUUAAUUAGCAAAAUUUAUGAUCAAUAUUUAAUAAUUAUAUUAUUCUAUAUUGUUUAGAUGAUAUAAUUUCUUAUCAUGUUUUCAUUUUGUUUAUAGCACAUUGAUGUGAUUUUUUACUACCUUCGUAAAAAAUCAAAACUUUGCAGCAUGGAUCAAUACAGAUACACAACAACCCACUGCUUGUUCAUGUCACAUGUAAAAAAUUGUUAUGAUAGGUAUUACAUGGACAAUGAUGAUGAUAGUCUUCAUACACAAGAACAUGUUGAUCGCGCUUCAGUUGUAUCUGUAUAUGAGAGGUCAAUAAUUAACAUCAUCAAAGGUUUUGAAAUCCCUGAUGCUUUACCAUGGCAUCUUGUAGAUGAGGUCUACAUUCCGAUUAACUACGAUCAAGAAUUCCAUUGGAUGCUGCCAGUUGUUGAGUUGAAAAAGAGGGUGAUAAGAGUUUUUGACUCAUCAAUAUGCACAAGGAAAAAAGUCAUUUCUCAUGAGAUAAGAUUGUUGUCUAAAAUGCUUCCUUCUUACCUACUGGACAGUGGAUUCUUUGAAGAAACUGAGCGCACAAAAUUUGGUGAUUGUCAUCCAUACAAAGACAACAUUACUGGUUCACUUUUGGAGCCUCAAAUUUCUUUCAUGAUUGUAAAGUACACGGUAACCUCAAUAAGUCUGUUUUUUUUAAUUAAAUGCAGAUGAUACAUUGGGUAAAACA